AUGAACGCUGGCGGCGUGCCUAAUACAUGCAAGUCGAGCGAACGGACGAGAAGCUUGCUUCUCUGAUGUUAGCGGCGGACGGGUGAGUAACCCGUGGAUAACCUACCUAUAAGACUGGGAUAACUUCGGGAAACCGUAGCUAAUACCGGAUAAUAUUUUGAACCGCAUGGUUCAAAAGUGAAAGACGGUCUUGCUGUCACUUAUAGAUGGAUCCGCGCUGCAUUAGCUAGUUGGUAAGGUAACGGCUUACCAAGGCAACGAUGCAUAGCCGACCUGAGAGGGUGAUCGGCCACACUGGAACUGAGACACGGUCCAGACUCCUACGGGAGGCAGCAGUAGGGAAUCUGCCGCAAUGGGCGAAAGCCUGACGGAGCAACGCCGCGUGAGUGAUGAAGGUCUUCGGAUCGUAAAACUCUGUUAUUAGGGAAGAACAUAUGUGUAAGUAACUGUGCACAUCUUGACGGUACCUAAUCAGAAAGCCACGGCUAACUACGUG
rnacentral:rRNA from 1 species